rnacentral:lncRNA from 1 species
AAUCUUCUCCUGCCCUCUCCUCUGCUUCCCCGGCCUCCCCCUUCUGACUCUCCUCUCCCCUCUUUGUAUCCCCCAUCUUGCCUCCCUGCUUCCCACAUCCGACCACCCGACCUCUCUCCUCAGACGUGGACGAAUGUCGCGAGCGAGGCCCAGCCCUGUGCGGGUCGCAGCGCUGUGAGAACUCUCCCGGCUCCUACCGCUGUGUCCGGGACUGCGAUCCUGGGUACCACGCGGGCCCCGAGGGCACCUGUGACGAUGUGGAUGAGUGCCAAGAAUAUGGUCCCGAGAUUUGUGGAGCCCAGCGUUGUGAGAACACCCCUGGCUCCUACCGCUGCACACCAGCCUGUGACCCUGGCUAUCAGCCCACGCCAGGGGGCGGAUGCCAGGAUGUGAACGAGUGUGAAACACUACAGGGUGUAUGUGGAGCUGCCCUGUGUGAAAAUGUCGAAGGCUCCUUCCUCUGUGUCUGCCCCAACAGCCCGGAAGAGUUUGACCCCAUGACUGGACGCUGUGUUCCCCCACGAACUUCUGCUGACGUGGACGAAUGUCAGCUCUUCCGAGACCAGGUGUGCAAGA